AGCCUAAUGGUUAAGGCUAUGGAUCGCCAAUCCGGAGACGGCGGGUUCGAUUCCCGC
rnacentral:tRNA from 1 species